rnacentral:rRNA from 1 species
GACGAACGCUGGCGGCGCGCCUAACACAUGCAAGUCGAACGAGCGAGAGAGAGCUUGCUUUCUCGAGCGAGUGGCGAACGGGUGAGUAACGCGUGAGGAACCUGCCUCAAAGAGGGGGACAACAGUUGGAAACGACUGCUAAUACCGCAUAAGCCCACGGUGCCGCAUGGCACAGAGGGAAAAGGAGCAAUCCGCUUUGAGAUGGCCUCGCGUCCGAUUAGCUAGUUGGUGAGGUAAUGGCCCACCAAGGCGACGAUCGGUAGCCGGACUGAGAGGUUGAACGGCCACAUUGGGACUGAGACACGGCCCAGACUCCUACGGGAGGCAGCAGUGGGGAAUAUUGCACAAUGGGGGAAACCCUGAUGCAGCGACGCCGCGUGGAGGAAGAAGGUCUUCGGAUUGUAAACUCCUGUUGUUGGGGAAGAUAAUGACGGUACCCAACAAGGAAGUGACGGCUAACUACGUG